UGGAUCGAGAUAGCUCUGUUCCUCACCGCUUUAUUUGCCUCGAUCGCCUGCCCAGGGAAGACCUCCUGCCCUCCUCCUCUCGCCAGCGCCGCCGAAGGGAACCAGCCCGCCACCGGAGCUCCAGAGUGUCCAGCCCUCUAUCCCCUCCCAUCUCUCCCUUCCCCUCUCCAUCGCCGACACUCCCCAUCCAUGGACGCCUCAACGCCUCUCUAUCUUCGUACGUGACCACCACUUCAGAAGGGGGCAUAGCCGAGGGGUGAUCUGCGCUCCUCUCCAAUGACUCCGCCACAGCUGAAUCCGGUUUUAGUCCAGCAAGAAGCAGUCGAACAGUGGCGCGUCGACCAUCCCGUCGGGUGUGUGGCUAGAGGGCAUAUCCAACUGGUGUCCUUGAGGUGCAGCGCGGGUAGAAGGUGGGGCUCGUGGGCAUCAAUGGCACCGGCAAAACCACGCAUCUCCACACCAUCGCUGGUAUCGAGGAGCUCGACGGCAGCAACUUCGUAAAGGCCAACGCUAGCCUGAAGUUUGCCUUCCUCGGCCAUAAAUUCGAGGUCUGCGCCUCCCGGACAGUAGGGUGGAGUUUCUCAGCUUCUUGCAGGAGGAGAUGACCGUGAAGGACUGCCUCAACCUGCUGCAGGGCCUUCUAGCGCGCCACCGAGGAUAUGGGCCUCAUGGGGUCAUGGAAUUUGCAGCUCGCCAUCAUCGAUGAGAGAGACUAGCUCAGACUAUUGGUGCUCUGUGUUGUUGAGUUCUAUGCGAGGUGACCACCCAAUUGUGGAUGACACAUGAAGUGUUAGUAAAGUUUGACUGUCAUGCAAGAGAAUGUGAGUACUACAUUAUAGGUUGAUUGUUACCGUGAUUCAUUUAAAAAAAUUUGUUGUCCUGAUUGAUCAUAUGAUUGGUAAAUUAUCCACUCCGCGAUUGCAAGAGCAAGACUGAGGUGUCUUUUUCCUGGCUAGAUAAAGGUUUGACUCUGCAUUUUAAGAAGGUGAUUCAGUAAAACUGCUUGCCUUGAAUUCAGAAGGUGAGAGGACUAAAAAUGUUCAUCUUUUACACUGUCCAUACUAUUCUAACAAUGUUCAGAGGGCUAUCCAUUGACAGGCCCAAUUUUGGAGUGAACUUCACACAAAUGAGAGAAGCAUCAAUACGACCAACUGUACUGCCUCUAAUCUCUUUUCCAUGCAGUAAACUUCACACGAAUCAAUGUCAUUUGAUCAUGCAAAUGAGACCAUCUUACACGCUGAAUCAGCUCGAUCAAGUGUCUAAGCGCCAUCACUUUCUGAUAAGUCACCCAAACAUUCCAAGUAUAGUUAACAUAGACAGACCGACUGGGAUCUUAAGACCACGGCUUCACUUCUUAGAGUAAGCCUGUUGGCCAGGCAAUUUUUAAUCUUCUGUAGUGCUUUUAUUUCCUGAAUUGCACGGGAGUCAUGUCACGGUUACGGUUUCUUUUCUCAUUUGUAUAAUUAUAUGCCUGGCAGUAGUGAACGCUUCGUAAGUGUAAGCAUAAGCCCUCCUUAUGUAGCAACCAGUGAAAAGAUUGUAUUGCACAGGUUGUUCAUGGAAAAAACAAAAUGAAGGUCUACUUAAUUUAUUGAUUCGGUUUUGGUUCUAGAUUAGUGUACUUUAAAUUUCAGAUUUCCUAAUUCAACAGGCUUAGCUAUGAAAACCCAGCAAUACUAUCCCGUUUCAGGUUUUCAGUUUGUCAAUUCACAUUCUUUCUUUUAUUUAGCGUUUACUAAUCUGUUCAACUUUUAUAUAGGGUAUAAUUAUGCAUGCAAUCCAUAACUACAGUUCUGAUUUUCCCAGUAAAAGUAUUUCAACAUCUCCACUCCCGUGGCUAAAUUGGUCAAGAUUUUCAAUACUAGGUGAGUGCAGAUAGUACAGCGGGAACUAAUGGUACCAUGGGCAGAGAGUUUUGUUGCUAAGGUGCACAUGUUGAUUUCAGCUGCGUGCCACAUGUGUCCUGAAACGUCUAGAAGAGAUUGUUGAGUGAUUUUCUCUGCCAGUAAUGUUCAUUUAUAAUGUUUGGAAAACAUGGUAUUUUAUAUCGCUUCUAUGAAAAACUCCACCCACAUUGUGCCAUUGUUCUAUUUGUCACACUCAUCACACAUGGUGUUCUAUUUUUAGCUUCAUGCCAAGGUGAUGAGGACGCACUAUACCAUAUUCUCUGAUUCAUGGAUAUAAGAAAGGUCAGUGAGAGAAAAUGCCGUGUAAAAAACAUAUGUGAUGGAUAUAUAAAACAAGAAGAGGCUAAUUAUUUGAAAUAGCAGGCUGUGGCAUCGUCAGUAAACCUGAGGUGUUGCACUGAGCUACAAAGCAUGUUGUUUCACUGGCAAGUUUCCAAAUUUUCACAUGGUGGAUUCUAGAUUUAUACGUUUACGGAUUCCCUAGCUUUUUCCUCCAUAAACAUUAGGUGAGUAUAUAUAUAUUUAAGUAUGUGGUUAGAUAACUUAGUAUGACUAUUGUGUGCCUCUCUUGACUUAAUGGGCGAGCAAGCUGCUAAAUUUAAUGGCUGGAGCAAUUUUUCUUGGCGCAUUGGUUCAGACAUACACUCUUGCAUUUUUCUGAGUUACACGUUGUCUAGAUAUCACUAGAGUUACUUUAUGUUCAGCUGCAUGCUUACCAUUUUUGUAAUAUUUUCAUUCUUCUGAGUCGUGUUGGCUAGGUUUCUAACUAAUUGGUGUUGGCAAGGUAAUAAUGUUUUCAGACAUCCCUCUGUACUAGACUCGAAAAUUUAGUUUACGUUGUAUACCUCUCUUAAUAUAUUUUUUGCAGCAGAUUUUUUUAGUCCAAGAAGCAUUGAAUCUUACUUCUAUCCUAGGGGAACAGAAUGGAAGGAUGUGUGCCAGCUAAUUGUAUAGACCAAUUCAAGCCACAGCUAAAAAGAGAUUUAGCUUUCUACUAGAAGCACCAUUCUUCCGUUGGAGUUCCUCGCAUCAAUAAGCUUAUGCUAGCUGAUACUGAAGUUCACAUACUGCUGGUCAUCCUCACUGAGCUCUCUUAAAUUCAUUUAUCUUAGAGUUUGGUGUUUGCUGAAACAUAUACAGAGCUUGGUGAGGUGUAGGUGUUAGUUUGCAUGUGCGAUUUCCUUUUUUUCCCUCUUGCACAUUCUACAUGUGUACCAAGCCAUAAAAUUUGAAAUGGUUGGUGCUGAUGUGCAAGCACUAUCCGUGGUUUUCGCUGCAGUAUGUUGUAACUAACGUACUGUCUUUGUAAAUGCUGCCGAAGUGUUUGAAAUUCAGUAUUCCAGUUAGCCACGGCA